CCGAGUUUACAAACUCCCAAACCCUUUGUGAACCUUACCUAUCGUUGCUUCGGCGGGACCGCCCCGACGGCCACCUCGGUGGUCCCGGAACCAGGCGCCCGCCGAAGGCCCCAAACUCUUUGUUUCCUAUGGUUUUCUCCUCUGAGUGGAAAAUAAACAAAUAAAUAA
rnacentral:misc_RNA from 1 species